AACGAACGCUGGCGGCAUGCCUAACACAUGCAAGUCGAACGAGACCUUCGGGUCUAGUGGCGCACGGGUGCGUAACGCGUGGGAACCUGCCCUUAGGUUCGGAAUAACUCCCCGAAAGGGGUGCUAAUACCGGAUAAUGUCUUCGGACCAAAGAUUUAUCGCCUUUGGAUGGGCCCGCGUUGGAUUAGCUAGUUGGUAGGGUAAAAGCCUACCAAGGCGACGAUCCAUAGCUGGUCUGAGAGGAUGAUCAGCCACACUGGGACUGAGACACGGCCCAGACUCCUACGGGAGGCAGCAGUGGGGAACAUUGGACAAUGGGCGAAAGCCUGAUCCAGCAAUGCCGCGUGAGUGAUGAAGGCCUUAGGGUUGUAAAGCUCUUUUACCCGGGAUGAUAAUGACAGUACCGGGAGAAUAAGCGCCGGCUAACUCCGUG
rnacentral:rRNA from 1 species